rnacentral:lncRNA from 1 species
UAAUAAUCCGGUAGAAUGGGACGCGCUUUUCUCACAUUAUGGGAAACGAAAUGUGAAAGUGGUCCGAAUCUAUGACUUUAUAUUUUUUCUUACGGUUUUUUUCUGAAACUUUAAGGGAAUAUAUCUAUGUGAAUUUUAGGUCUUCUUGAGUUCAUUGCCAUUCAUCUUUACUAAACAGUCUGUCAAUAAAAUGUACAUAUUCAGUUCACAAUCAUAACACCACAAUGGGUGGCCGGCAAAUCUAUAAACGAACUUAACUUUAGAAAAUAAAUAAGAGUGGUGUUCUUGAAUUAUUGUCUUUUUCAUGAUUCUAUCCUACCAUCUUUAAGACAAGUCAUAAACCAUCUCUAGAUCACCGCACUGAAGGAUAUGCAAAACCAACCGUAAAGGGCGGGAAAUUUGAAAACUGCUUCAUCAAUGAAGCUCCAUUAUCGUGACCUGCAAGUCCUUGUGGAUAAAUAAAAGAAUUCGUUUUGUGUAAUUCUUCUUUUUCUUCCUUGACUCUCUCGUCUUUUUUCAGUUUCAUUCUUCGAUUCUGGAACCAAACUUUCACUUGUCGUUCUGAUAACUUCAAUGAGUUUGCAAUCUCGAUUCGUCUUGGUCGGCAUAGAUAACGGUUAAAAUGAAACUCCUUUUCUAACUCUAAAAUCUGAGCGUUGCUGUACGCCUUUCUUUUACGCGAAGAAUCGACGAAAGGUUCGGGAUCU